CCCUUAGAUGUUCUGGGCCGCACGCGCGCUACACUGAUGCAUUCAACGAGUUUCUUCCUGGUCCGAGAGGAAUGGGUAACCUUUUGAAAGUGCAUCGUGAUAGGGAUAGACUAUUGCAAUUAUUGGUCUUCAACGAGGAAUUCCUAGUAGACGUAGUUCAUCAGACUGCAUCGAUUACGUCCCUGCCCUUUGUACACACCGCCCGUCGCUCCUACCGAUUGAAUGCUCAGGUGAGCCAUUCGGACUUGCAUCAUGCUGGUUUCCAGUUUUGAUGAAGGAAAGUCUUGCGAACCUUAUCAUUUAGAGGAAGGAGAAGUCGUAACA
rnacentral:rRNA from 1 species